UAAGUCUAUUAGGUUCACCCCUACUUAUAACAGUGUUAUACAUGGUGAUAGCUAAGUCUAUUAGGUUCACCCCUACUUACAACAGUGUUAUACAUGGUGAUAGCUAAGUCUAUUAGGUUCACCCCUACUUAUAACAGUGUUAUACAUGGUGAUAGCUAAGUCUAUUAGGUUCACCCCUACUUAUAACAGCGUUAUACAUGGUGAUAGCUAAGUCUAUUAGGUUCACCCCUACUUAUAACAGUGUUAUACAUGGUGAUAGCUAAGUCUAUUAGGUUCACCCCUACUUAUAACAGUGUUAUACAUGGUGAUAGCUAAGUCUAUUAGGUUCACCCCUACUUAUAACAGCGUUAUACAUGGUGAUAGCUAAGUCUAUUAGGUUCACCCCUACUUAUAACAGCGUUAUACAUGGUGAUAGCUAAGUCUAUUAGGUUCACCCCUACUUAUAACAGCGUUAUACAUGGUGAUAGCUAAGUCUAUUAGGUUCACCCCUACUUAUAACAGCGUUAUACAUGGUGAUAGCUAAGUCUAUUAGGUUCACCCCUACUUAUAACAGUGUUAUACAUGGUGAUAGCUAAGUCUAUUAGGUUCACCCCUACUUAUAACAGUGUUAUACAUGGUGAUAGCUAAGUCUAUUAGGUUCACCCCUACUUAUAACAGCGUUAUACAUGCUGAUAGCUAAGUCUAUUAGGUUCACCCCUACUUAUAACAGCGUUAUACAUGCUGAUAGCUAAGUCUAUUAGGUUCACCCCUACUUAUAACAGCGUUAUACAUGGUGAUAGCUAAGUCUAUUAGGUUCACCCCUACUUAUAACAGUGUUAUACAUGGUGAUAGCUAAGUCUAUUAGGUUCACCCCUACUUAUAACAGUGUUAUACAUGGUGAUAGCUAAGUCUAUUAGGUUCACCCCUACUUAUAACAGUGUUAUACAUGGUGAUAGCUAAGUCUAUUAGGUUCACCCCUACUUAUAACAGCGUUAUACAUGGUGAUAGCUAAGUCUAUUAGGUUCACCCCUACUUAUAAC